CAAAUUUGAGCUUGAGAGAAAGCAUUUUAUUUACAUUAAAAAGUUAUCGUGCGAUUCGAUAAAUUUGA
rnacentral:tRNA from 1 species